rnacentral:rRNA from 1 species
AUUGAACGCUGGCGGCGUGCCUAAUACAUGCAAGUCGAACGCAGUGGGGACGGGUGAGUAACACGUGGGUAACCUCCGAUCAGAGGGGAUAAAACUUGGAAACAGGUGCUAAACCGAUAUUGAUGUAUGUACCCGCGGUGCAUUAGCUAGUCGGUGAGGUAAAGGCUCACCAAGGCCACGAUGCAUAGCCGGCCUGAGAGGGGGAUCGGCCACACUGGGACUGAGACACGGCCCAGACUCCUACGGGAGGCAGCAGUAGGGAAUAUUCGGCAAUGGACGCAAGUCUGACCCAGCAACGCCGCGUGUGUGAAGAAGGUUUUCGGAUUGUAAAACUCUGUUGUCAGGGAAGCGGUACCUAAACAGAAAGCCACGGCUAACUACGUGCCAGCAGCCGCGGUAAUAC